rnacentral:rRNA from 1 species
UACGAAGGUGCAAACGUUGCUCGGAAUCAUUGGGCGUAAAGCGCACGUAGGCGGCUCCAAAAGUCGGAUGUGAAAUCCCUGGGCUCAACCGAGGAAGUGCAUCCGAAACUGCGGAGCUUGAGUAUGGAAGAGGGUCGCGGAAUUCCCGGUGUAGAGGUGAAAUUCGUAGAUAUCGGGAGGAACACCAGUGGCGAAGGCGGCGACCUGGGCCAAUACUGACGCUGAGGUGCGAAAGCGUGGGGAGCAAACAGG